UACGAAGGGGGCGAGCGUUGUUCGGAUUUACUGGGCGUAAAGGGCGCGCAGGCGGCGCAUUUUGUCAGGCGUGAAAGCCCCGGGCUUAACCUGGGAACUGCGUUUGAUACGGAUGGGCUAGAGUUCGGUAGAGGAGAGUGGAAUUCCCAGUGUAGAGGUGAAAUUCGUAGAUAUUCGGAAGAACACCAGUGGCGAAGGCGGCUCACUGGCCCGGUACUGACGCUGAGGUGCGAAAGCGUGGGGAGCAAACAGG
rnacentral:rRNA from 1 species